rnacentral:rRNA from 1 species
UGAGGAAUAUUGGUCAAUGGGCGAGAGCCUGAACCAGCCAAGUAGCGUGCAGGAUGACGGCCCUAUGGGUUGUAAACUGCUUUUAUGUGGGGAUAAAGUGCGUGACGUGUCAUGCAUUGCAGGUACCACAUGAAUAAGGACCGGCUAAUUCCGUGCCAGCAGCCGCGGUAAUACGGAAGGUCCGGGCGUUAUCCGGAUUUAUUGGGUUUAAAGGGAGCGUAGGCUGUCUAUUAAGCGUGUUGUGAAAUAUACCGACUCAACCGGUGGCUUGCAGCGCGAACUGGUCGACUUGAGUAUGCAGGAAGUAGGCGGAAUUCAUGGUGUAGCGGUGAAAUGCUUAGAUAUCAUGACGAACUCCGAUUGCGCAGGCAGCUUACUGUAGCAUAACUGACGCUGAUGCUCGAAAGUGCGGGUAUCAAACAGG